UUCACCUGGGAUCCCGCAAAAUUCCCAAAACCUCGGGAAAUUCUGGAGAGACUGGCGGCCAGGAAACGCAGGAUGGUCAGCAUCGUGGACCCGCACAUCAAGGUGGACGGGGGGUACCGGGUCCACGCCGAGCUGAGGGCGCGCGGCCUCUUCGUCAAAACCAAGGACGGCGGCGACUACGAGGGCUGGUGCUGGCCUGGUGAGAGGAU